AUUGAACGCUGGCGGCAUGCUUUACACAUGCAAGUCGAACGGUAACAGGUUAAGCUGACGAGUGGCGAACGGGUGAGUAAUGCAUCGGAACGUGCCCGAUCGUGGGGGAUAACGCAGCGAAAGCUGCGCUAAUACCGCAUACGAUCUGAGGAUGAAAGCGGGGGACCGUAAGGCCUCGCGCGAUUGGAGCGGCCGAUGUCAGAUUAGGUAGUUGGUGGGGUAAAGGCUCACCAAGCCGACGACCUGUAGCUGGUCUGGGAGGACGACCAGCCACACUGGGACUGAGACACGGCCCAGACUCCUACGGGAGGCAGCAGUGGGGAAUUUUGGACAAUGGGCGAAAGCCUGAUCCAGCAAUGCCGCGUGCAGGAAGAAGGCCUUCGGGUUGUAAACUGCUUUUGUACGGAGCGAAAAGGCUCUCUCUAAUACAGGGGGCUCAUGACGGUACCGUAAGAAUAAGCACCGGCUAACUACGUGCCAGCCGCCGCCGUAACAC
rnacentral:rRNA from 1 species